GAUGAACGCUAGCGACAGGCUUAACACAUGCAAGUCGAGGGGCAGCGAGGGAGUGCUUGCACUUCUGUCGGCGACCGGCGCACGGGUGAGUAACACGUAUGCAACCUGCCCUUGUCAGGGGGAUAAGCGAGGGAAACCUCGUCUAAUACCGCAUAUAUGAUUUAGAGGCAUCUUUUAAUCAGGAAAGAAUUAUCGGACAAGGAUGGGCAUGCGGGACAUUAGGUAGUUGGGGGUGUAACGGACCACCAAGCCGACGAUCAGUAGCCGGCCUGAGAGGGUGAUCGGCCACAUUGGGACUGAGACACGGCCCAAACUCCUACGGGAGGCAGCAGUGGGGAAUAUUGCACAAUGGGGGAAACCCUGAUGCAGCAACGCCGCGUGAAGGAUGACGUAUUUCGGUAUGUAAACUUCUAUCAGCAAGGAAGAUGAUGACGGUACUUGACUAAGAAGCCCCGGCUAACUACGUG
rnacentral:rRNA from 1 species